rnacentral:misc_RNA from 1 species
GUGAAUCAUCAAAUUUUUGAACGCAAAUUGCACUCUCCUCGGAGAGUAUGCCUGUUUGAGGGUCAGCCUAUAAAAAAUCGACAUCGUUGCUGUUUCGCGGUGGCGUUCGUCGGGAAUUUGGGCAUCUUUAAUCUUUUGGUUUUAAGCGACUUAAAAUUUUCUUUUUGGUUUCAUGAACGUUUCUAAGAUUUAUUUCUUUACACGUUUAAGGUAUCGAUUUUUAUUAGACGUGACCAUCAUAUCGGAUCUCGCCCAUAAUUUUUCAGUAACUGACCUCAGACCGGUAAGACACA